GGACUCCACUGCUUUUAAAAUGAGAGGUUAGCAAGCUUCCUGUUUGUCUGAGGGAGAGACAUUACCUCAUUCCUCAAGGCCGUGCAUUACAGGCACACUCCCGAGAAAUGGCCCAGGCCAUACCACGCAGCAUGUGGGAUCCUAGUUCCUGGACCACGGAUUGGACCAGCACCCUCUGCAGUGGAAUUGCGAAUUUCUAACCACUGGGCUGCCAGGGAAGUCCCUUUCCUUUAUUAUAAAAAGGUGAUCUUCUGCUGUUUUAUACGAAGUCUUUUAAGCUUCUCUUCUCCACGCUUCACACCUAGAGGACUGCUACGAAUAUUAGGUUGUAUUUCAUACUGUGGAAACUAUUCCAGCGGAUUGCAGCUCCUUGAGAAAAAUUUGUCAUUCUGACUAAAUGUGCGGCGCUUGUCAUAUUUAGCAAGAGGACCCAGACCAAGAGCUUUGGGGACACUGAAGAAGAAAAGCAAAAUAACGCUAAAACUCGUGAGACGCCGCCGUGCUCCCGGUCAGCAGCAGCAUUCCCCGAAUUCCAGGCUGGGACAGAGAGCUUCCCAGCAAGGGGGCGUGGCUUCCGGCGGGAUGCACCAAAGAGCAUUCUGUCAUAGCCGCCACCAAGGGUCCGUUUACGUCCUGGAGGGACGGCUCUUACUCAGCUCUACAGGUGUGUGCGGAGGACUCACGGCGCACCCAGCAAUUUCUCGUUGUUCGUCUGCAUGUGGCAGCCAGAAGCAGUGCUUACACGAUGCGAACCUGGACAAUUCACCAGACCUUUAGAAAGCCGCCGUCAUAUUUGUGGGCCACGGCACACUCCUGUUUUUCUCUGAAAAAAAAAAAAUUGGGUCUGUCUUGCAUUGGGUCACCAGAAGGUGGCUCAGUGGACAACAGAAUCAUUUUCAUUAGCUUGAUUUUAAACUGAUUCAACUUUUGUUGUAAGUCUUCACCAAAAAUAAAAGCCAUACAUAUUACCCAUUAUUACAUUUGCUAUAAAAAUGUUGCUGUGGACUUCCACACCAGAAACUUCUUCCAGAAUUUUGGUUUUCCUGGGAAAUAUGUGUUUCUCACUUUCUGUGAAGGAGAAACGUAUAACUGACUGCUUCCAUUCAGGCUCAGGCUAACAGGAAGCACAGCAGGAAAGUGAGAAGUCAUUGAAUUCCUCAAAUUCUUCUCUUCUUUGAGCCUGACUUUCUAGCAAUUUUUAUAUUUUAAUACAGUUUAAUAUGGGCUUCCCUGGUGCGAGAGACACGGGUUCGUGCCCCGGUCCGGGAAGAUCCCACAUACUGCGGAGUGGCUGAGCCUGUGAGCCAUGGCUGCUGGGCCUGCGCGUCCGGAGCCUGUGCUCCGCAGCGGGAGAGGCCAAAACGGUGAGAGGCCCGCGUACCGCAAAAAAAAAAAAAAAAAAAAAAAAAAAAAAUGUUGGAAACAGCCUAAAUUGAUUUUGGGCAGGGAGGAGUCUUGGUUAUAGGUCAAUAUAAAAAAUGCAGGUAAAAGGAUGAGGUCAUCCUAUAUUUUAUUGACCUGGACAAGCUUCCAAGAUAUACUUUUGUGUUAAAAACGCAAGUUACGUGUUCUAGUUCUGUGAAAAAAUGCCAUUGGUAUUUUGAUAGGGAUCGCUUUGAAUCUGAAGAUUGCCUUGGGUAGUGUGGACAUUUUAACAAUAUUAAUUCUUCCAGUCCGUGAACGCAGUAUAUCUUUCCAUCUGUUUGUGUCAUCUUCAAUUUCUUUCAUCAGUGUCUUAUAGUUUUUGGAGUACAGGUCUUUUACCUCAUUAGUUAGAUCCAUUCCUAGGUAUUUUAUUUUAUUUUUUUGGAUGCAAUUGUAAAUGGCAUUGUUUUCUUAAUUUCUCUUUCUGAUAGUUUGUUGUUAGCGUAUAGAAACUCAACAGAUUUCUGUAUACUAAUUUCACAUCCUGCAACUUUACUGAAUUCAUUGAUAUUGAUACGUGUUACACAUUAAAGUUGUUGAGAGAGGAAACCCUAAGAGUUCUCAUCGCGUGGAAAAAUGUUUUUCUGUUUCUUUAAUUUUAUAUCGAAUAUAUGAGAUGAUGGAUGUUCACUACACUUAUUGUGAUCAUUAUUACGUGAUAUAUGCAAGUCAGGUCAUCAUGCCGUACACCUUAAACUUACACGGUGCUGUAUGCCAAUUAUGUCUCAGUAAAACCGCAAGAAAAAAUAAAUAAAUUUAAAAAGCAAGUUACAAAACCACGUGCCUAAUAAAAAGCUGCAUGAUGUAUCUGAAUCAUAUAAAUGCGUGUACAUGCACAGCAAAGAUCCUGGAAGAGUCCCGAGCCACUGCUUGUCUUUGAUGGACUAGAAGAGGGGUCACUUCCUCCGGGCAGUGGCAGCCUCACGCUAGGGCACCCAUUUCAGCACGUGGGCACAAGCUGGCUUUUGAUUUCGCUCCCCCCAGCCCCCAAGCGUCUGAGGAGGCCUGGAGAGGUACUAACCUGAUCACGAAGGUGACCCCUGGGGAGGUUCCUGGAAUUUGAGGGAGGUUAGUUAAGGAGUACUUUUGCUUUAAUUCUACUACUUCUAUAUUUCUAUGAACUGUUUCUGUAGUUUAGAUAAAGUGAAAUAAAACUAUUGUGAUUUUCCCAAGGGCUACGGGAAUCUAUGCAGAAUAGGCUUAAAAGUGGCUUGUAAUCCCCAGGCUCUGUCUUUACUGUGACCACUGUUUCCAUCCCUCCAGGAAUUCUCCUGCUGCUCUUCCCUUCUCUCCCUGUCUCAGAUGCUGGGCUUUCUCUCCCACGGUAGUGGCCUCCCUGCUUCAGGAAAGCCAUUCUCUGUGGUCCCCUCCCUUUGUUUGCUGUUACUCAGAAGGUCUGAGGUGGUGGGAUCGUGAACUCAGCAGAGUCCCGCAUCCUGGCUCUGGUUUCACAGGUUUGUACCUAGAAAAGCCUGCAGAUUAAUUAGCUGGUAUUGACUCGUAUUGUCUCCUGUCUCUAAGAUGCUCCUAGGACUCAGGUGGUGCUAGGGGUUGUCUUUUUUCUUUAACAGAAUUAAACUAAAUGAGUUCUAUGAGCCUGGAAAAAUCCAAGACCCUCCCAAAACAUUUGACCACUCAUGACCCAGCAGGCUCUGGGUAAGUGGAAAGGAGAG